UUCCGGCCGGAUUUGUCUACAGUGGCUUGGGAUGCCCAGGUCAGGUUACUUCCCGCCAGGGGAACACAGCUGUCCCAUAGGACGUUUCUUCGAACCCGUGUGCCCGCAGGUGACCCCCAGUGGGAUUCCGAGUGUGGCCCGGGCACCAGCCUGUCCUGCUCCGUCCCCCGCAGGCCGAGGCCACUCAGCUUCCCAGGGGGCGGUGGAGGGCUUCGGCUGGAUCCCAUUUCUCGCGACCCACGACGGCCAGCGGGCGGAUGGACCGGGCUCAGGGAUAUGUGACCUUCAAGGAUGUGUUCAUGACCUUCUCCUGGGAGGAGUGGGGACUCCUUGAUGAGGUUCAGAGAUUCCUCUACCUUGAUGUGAUGCUGGAGAACUUUGCACUUAUGCCCACAAUUGCUUUAGCACCUCAGCAUUCUGGGUGCCACUUAACUGGGUGCUCCUAGAAUCUCUUACGGGGUUUCAGUUGAGCCAUCUGCCAGAGCUAUGGGGUCUUCUGAUGACCUAUCUGGAAGAAUCUACUCUCAAGGCUGUAGCAUGUGAGCGAGAGCCAUUGCCCAGGAUGGAAGCCCGAGAUUGUAGCCUAAUCUCGAAAAUGAUAUUCUAUCUUCUUUAUACCGGAGUCACUCAGUUAAGCCUGUAACAAGGGAAGAGGCUUACAUGAAGACCAGAGGACCAAUAGAGAUAAAUUCCAGGGUCCUAGGAAAGCACUGUGCCACUGACCACACGCCUCAACCUUCUCUCCUUUCUUGAAUUUCCAAAGUAGAUGGUGAUGGUAGAAACAGACUCUGGCCAGACUGUCAUUUCUGGGCUGGAGAG